rnacentral:tRNA from 2 species
CGGGGCGUAGCGCAGCUUGGUAGCGCAUCUGGUUUGGGACCAGAGGGCCGCGGGUUCAAAUCCUGCCGCCCCGA